rnacentral:rRNA from 1 species
UACAGAGGGUGCGAGCGUUGUCCGGAAUCACUGGGCGUAAAGGGCGCGUAGGCGGUUUUGUAAGUCAGUGGUGAAAGCCCAUCGCUCAACGGUGGAACGGCCAUUGAUACUGCAAGACUUGAAUUAUUAGGAAGUAACUAGAAUAUGUAGUGUAGCGGUGAAAUGCGUAGAGAUGUGGAGGAACACCAGUGGCGAAGGCGACUCUUUGGCCUGUAACUGACACUGAGGCGCGAAAGCGUGGGGAGCAAACGGG